UACAGAGGGUGCAAGCGUUAAUCGGAAUUACUGGGCGUAAAGGGUGCGUAGGCGGGUCUUUAAGUCAGGGUGAAAUCCUGGAGGCUCAACUCCAGAACUGCCUUUGAUACUGAAGAUCUUGAGUUCGGGAGAGGUGAGUGGAACUGCGAGUGUAGAGGUGAAAUUCGUAGAUAUUCGCAAGAACACCAGUGGCGAAGGCGGCUCACUGGUCCGGUACUGACGCUGAGGUGCGAAAGC
rnacentral:rRNA from 1 species